UCCCCAGUGUUCCAGGCAUGAACAUCCAGUAAUGCCCAGGAGUCAGAGGUCCCUUGGGUUCCCUGAAAUUGUACCAGGGCUUUCAUAUUUUUAAUCCAAGGGGAUUUCAUUUAACACCUGAAUGGCCCAGGCCACGAUGCAGCCCACUGAUGCCUCCAGGAUAGUGCUUUCAAACAUGCAAGGAUUUUCAUGAGGGGGGGGGGGAAGCACCAGAAAACUAGAGUUUUGUCCCCAGACUGGCCUUUAUCUGGACACCCCUAAGUGUCCCCAAAGAGAAAAACAACAGAACAUGGCCAUAGAGGUGCCACCCUGCAAUAGCAAGGACUUUCUGAGUGCCCCAUGUUGGUGUGCCUUGACAGGAGGAACCAUUAGGGAGACAGGGUAAGGAGGUAUUUGGGCUUAUAUCACCCCUAGCACCACCCCUCACAAGCUGUGUGACCUUGGGCUGGCUAAUUUAUGCCUCUCUGUGCCCCUAUCUGAGAUGAUUGAAGAAGACAUAAUGUAUUAAAGCUCAAAUCAGCCCCAACAGACAUCAUCUCUCCUUGUCCUAUUCCUGUUCCACAUCAGAAGCAGCCAGAACUUCACCAGAUGUCUCAGCCCCAAUUGGGGCCCCCAGGACCCUGGUUCCCAUCCUGGCUGGUAGGUGGACCGACCAGGGAGGUUCCCAACACCCUUGGCCAGCCUGCAUACGCAGAGAUUGUCAUGCAAGUGGUACAGGGUGAGGCUGGGGCUCCCAGAGCCCUGGGGCUUGCAGGGUGAUUCCAGUGUGCACCCGGGACUGACCACUGCUACCCCAGGGCUCCGGGAGAUGACCAGACCCCACAGCAGACCCUCUCCAGCUGGUCGUGCAGCAGAAUCCUUGGGAGGCUUUCAAAACCACAGACUGCUGGGUCCCAAACCCAAGUGAUUCCCUAGGUGUGGGGUGGGCUCGGGAAGAUGCAUCUCGUCCAGCUCAAGCUCGGGGUGAGAGCAGCUGGUGCUGCUGAUCCCAGGACCUCACACGAAGGGCCCUGCGCUACAGAAACGUGCACUCUGGGCAGCCUGACGCUCCAGGUGGAGCUUUGACCUGGAAGGCCCUGGGCCAGGGUCUGCAGCGUCCCGCGCCCUCCCCGAGCGAUCCUGGAGCGCCCCCUGGCGGGAGCCGCGGCGGGUGCGGGCGCUCUCCCCUCUCCGGGGGCGGGGGGCGGGGGGAGGCCGCGGCGGAAGGGCCGUCACUCCGGACUCGCGCGCCCACGACCAGGCGGCCGCGCCCCGGCAAAAGAAGGGGCGCGCGGGCGCCGGGGCCCACGGCUCGGAGUCCGCCCGGGGCAGGAAGGCUGGGCGCGGCGGGGGCAGCCCCCCAGGUGCCGCUAGGGGAGCCCGGAGCCGCGCGGACGCACCGGGGCGCUGCCCCCCCUCCCUGCGCCGGGGCGGCCUCCCCGCCUCACCGCCGGCCUCCCCGCGCCUGUCAGUCCCCGCCUCGCAGGUGGCGGAGCGACCCGGGGGUAGGACAGAGAUGCGGGUGCCUCCAGCCCGCCGCGGCCCCCGGUGACGGGACGGGGUCUCGGGGCCUCCCCGGGGGCUGA
rnacentral:lncRNA from 12 species